UACGUAGGGGUGCGAGCGUUUGUCCGGAAUUAUUGGGCGUAAAAGAGCUUGUAGGCGGUCUGUCGCGUCUGCUGUGAAAAUCCGGGGGCUCAACCCCCGGACUGCAGUGGGGUACGGGGCAGACUAGAGUGUGGUAGGGGGAGACUGGAAUUCCUGGUGUAGCGGUGAAAUGCGCAGAUAUCAGGAGGAACACCGAUGGCGAAGGCAGGUCUCUGGGCCACUA
rnacentral:rRNA from 1 species